rnacentral:lncRNA from 1 species
UGUGUCCUUUGCGGGAAGCGAAGAAAGGAAGUGAUCACUCACGGGGUUUGUGCUUAAUAAAGUGAAGAAUUUUCGGAUCUGUUCUGAGAGUGUGUGUGAUGUUCUCAGACCUUCUGGAUGCAAAUUCAAUCGGUGACUUACGGUUUGAGUUUUCUUCUCUAUAAUCCUGAGUUUUUCUUAAGCUGAUUCGCUUUAAAGACUAAUUUUUGUUUUUGGACAGUUUAAAUUUGCGCAUUUACUUUCGUUUCUCUCCUAUGCACAAAUUUAGGGGGAGAAAUAAAAACAAAACAAAAAUUAGAAAAUUUUAAAAAAUAUAAAAAAAAUAAAUAUGUUGGUUAUGGAAUGUGCUUUAGGGAGAUGUUUUGGGAAGUGAUAUGAUUAUGUGAUAACAGACAACCUGAGUCUACGUAACGUGCCCAAAGUUGAAGGGUCUAUGCUCUGGUUUGAUGCAUCGGUAGGCACGAAAGAUUCUAAAUGGACAUGACUAGGCAGAGUUGAACUUAAGAAAUCAAAUGACUUGACAAAUCUUGACCUAGUUAGAUCUGUUUAGCCUGAAAAUACGACGCUUGGAUAGGUUGAGCAGGGAGAUAUAUAUAUAUAUGGGAACCUACUCGUCACAUUAAAUAAACCCAUAUUUGGAACAGUGGUUUAACUUUUCCUCGAUGUGCGGAUUCUGUCCUUAAUUCCGGUAUUGAUGGGGCGACUGGUAAAUUCCGAUGAAUUAGGUCUGUAGAAAAUUGUUUUCUCUUCUAUCUGUCUGUUCGUCAUAUGUUACCUCCUCUACGUGACUCAAAAUCCGACCUGGACUAUAACAUAUGCAACUCUAUUUCUCUGCAUCUUCUAUCUAUGCUGUGACAACCCGAUNAUAUAUUAUAUAUAUAUAUAUAUAUAUAUAUAUACAUAUGAAAUUCCUCUUAUCUGUUAGCCAUAUGUUGUCUCAUUUGCGUGACUAACGAUCCAACCUGGCACACAACAUAUGCACUAUAAGUGAUAAUACUCUGAAUCUAUCUUCUCCCCUAAUGAUGGUCUGCUCAUCCGAUGUAACAAGUACUCUGGAAGUCCUUGAUUACCGGGGCAUAUCUGGAAGCGGGAAACAUGUUCCAGUACAAUUAAAAUUGAACACUCAAAGAUUCUCUAUAGAUCUCGCUGCUCAAUUUAGGUGGACAACAAUAUCCCUGGUCAUCGUCAGCUGAAUGGUCCUUAAGAUAUAGUAUCUAGAAACUUAGGAUCAGAUAUAAUAUCUAUGAAUUUAGGAUCACAUUUUCUUGUCACUUAUAGUAUGUCCUAAUUUUGUCACAGUUUUUCGUGUUUAAGUCGACAACAAUACCGACGAUCGACCAAACAAAGACGUGAAGAUAGAAGGUACCGACAAGCGGAUAAAGGCUGUCUAAAAACUUUGAUCCCAAAUCAUUCUUAAAGUUAGAUAUCAUUUUAUUUUUAUUAAAUUUGUUCAUAGUUUUCCUCUAUGCACAAAUUUUAGGAGGAGAACUAAAAAUAAUUCAAAAAUCAGAAAAUUAAAAAUCCAAAAAUAGUGUUAUUUCUUAUUCAGAAAAAUCAGAAAAUCCAAAAAUAUUUUUGUUUCUGUUUUUAUUUUUCCAGAAAAUAUCAAAAAUCCAAAAAUAUUUUUUUUGUGCUAAUUUUUCUUUUAGUUUUGUUUUGUCUUGAAAAGUGAUUUCAGGCGUAGAUGAGACUCGUGGAGACUGUAUUGAAGAUCUUCUGAGCCAAGGCUUCAUCCGUGAGCAUCGAAGAAUUCGCAUUCGAAGGAGCAAGAAAUGAAGAUUAUUCUUUCGACAUUCGAAGGAGCAAGAAAUGAAGAUUAUUCGCAUGGUGAAGCUGUAAUUGAAGAUUAUGUGACUGAUUGCAUUGAAGCCUCCUCAAUCAAUUUGCUCCUAUCUAUGAACCUGCUAAAGUGAUCCAAAAGAUUAUUUCUCUCCGUUGUUCUCUCUGAAGAUUCUUAAGCUGAAAGCGCUAUCUUUCAAGAAUCAGUACAUCAAGCCUCCUCACCCAACGUGCGUUCAAUGCCAAAUUUUGAAGAGAAUCCCAACUGCUCAAGAUGAAGUCAUUGAAGAUUAAAGCUGAAGUCAAGCUCCCAUUGAAGAUUAAUAAGAAAAAGCCAGCUACUUUUUAGGGGGAGCUUGUUGGUUCAUUUAGAAAAGAAAUCUAUAAACCAAGGGGGAGAUUGUUAGGUCAAAAAUAUGGUUUAUACUUUGCUUUUCUAGGAAAAUAUAUUUUUAUAUAAUGUUGUAUGUGUUUGCGGUUUGUGUGUACGGCCGCACACCCUGUGUACGGUCGUACAUUGGGUGUGCGGUUGUACACAUGUGUAUGGCUGGAGGUCCAUAUAAAUAGAGGAGUGCAUGUAGGAGUGUACGGUGAAAAGAGGUUAAGUGUCUAGAGAAGAGAGAGAAAGUUAGAGAGAAGAAGAGUGUGUGAGAGAUAAUCUAUUGUAAGGAGCAUCAAUCAUAUUCAUUCAAUACAUCAUAGAUUCAUCUUAAUUCUUCUUCUCAUUCUCUUCUAUAUUGAUCUGACAUCAUCCAAUUGAUUGGGAUUCCGCACCAUCAAUUGGAUCUGACUGAUACACAAACAAUUUUGGGGACUUACAAUUGGUAUCAGAGCUUGGUUGUAUCAAUCAAUUUUUUCAGAUCUGGAGCUUAUUUGAUCUUAUUUUGAAAAGAGAAUAGAGUUUUUGGAUAGAUCUCGCAAAAAUAAGGGGGGUUACUUCUUUGCAUUUUUCAUAAAAAUGAGUUUUUGAUCGCGUUUUGGAGCAAAAAAGGGUGAAAAACGUCGUUUUUUUUCGCGAAUCUGUUGAAGGACGACCACUUGAAGGUGUGCGGAUCAGCAGCCUCGGAGUGCGGCUCGGAGUAUACGGCUCGGUAUGUGCGCCUCGGUGUGCGGCCUUGGUAUAUGGCUCGGUCUCGCCUCUGGUUCACGGCUCAGCAGUAUCGUUCUCGGCUUCGCAGCUCUAGUCCUCGCUGCGUAGCCAUCCUCGCUCAACAGCUUUCGUAUAAAAAAAAGGAAACGGAAUUAGAAGGUACCGGGAAUCGAACCCGGGACCUCUGGUUCUACAACAUUGCGCUCUACCAGCUCAACCAGGAAAGUCUUUGUGUCAUCCCUUCAAAGUUUAAAUCAUAACCUGUCCUUCUCGGUUUAUAAUUUCGCAAAUUGACAAUUUCAACCCAAAAAUCAAUUUUCUUUAUUUCUAAAUUCUAUUUUCAACCCAAAUUUUUUUGUUAUUAAUUUUUGAUUUUUUUUUAUCUUUGACCUUAAAAUUUUGACUUUGACUUUUAAAAUUUGACCUUUGACUUUAAAUUUUGACUUUCUCGUUUGACUUUUAGUUUUUCAAAUUUGGCUUUUCGGUUUGACUUUUAAGUUUGACUUUUGAGUUUGACUUUUUAAAUUUGACUUUUAAGGUUGACUUUCUCGGUUUUUAAGUCAAAGGGCAAUUAAAAUAAAUAAAUAAAUAUAAAAAAAAAGGAAAAUGAGUUCCGCAUCAAUUCCGGUAAAUAAAGUUUCAUGUACUCCAUCUUGUGAAACUACUAUUAGAUUUCUCCGAGAUCAAAUCGAUUUAUUAAAAAGAGAAAAUGAGGACCUUAAAUAUGAAGGAUAUACGUUAAGGAAAGGUCAGAAACCGUUAAAAGCUCAAUUAGAAACCAAAAUCAAGGAUUUCCGGAAAUUACAAGAAGAUUACAGCAACAAGUGUGAAAAUUAUGAUCACAUUAAGAAAAAACUUGAUGCUGUAACUGAAGAACUUGACGCUUUGAAAAUAAAGUAUGGAAAAACAGAUGUUAGUUUCAAAAAUUACACUGCGUCAAGUAAGACAGUCGAGUCCUUAUAUGAAACCCAAUUAAAAUUCAAAGAAGAUCAAAACAAGGGUCUAGGGUAUGAUACUGUUCCUCCACCUUUCAAUCAUAACUACACAUCCAUCCCUAUGACACAGGACGAAAUUGACAGGGAGGCCCAUAUUUGAUAUGGCAAACCAGCUGGAUUUGUGUCAGGAGGUAUUCAAGUUGAAGAUACUAAUGCUUAUACUUUAUGUGCAGGUAAAGUAGCAGAGGAUGAGAACAAGGAGAACACCAUUGAACAAACCAACAUCUCCUUGAACUCUGAAUCUGUUGCUUCGAACUCAACUGCUUCUGAUCAACCUGCUGUUGAGAAGUACAGGCCACCAAAUCAAGUGAAACAGCCGACUUGCUGCAAGUGUGCUUGUGGGAACAAUCAGAAACGAGGCAAGGAUACGCCACCAAGGGCAGGAAGAAACAACUUCAUAGUGAAGAAAAAGACUUGUUUUCACUAUGAAACACCUUGACACAUUGCCAGAUAUUGUCCUAAUCGAGCAUACGUUCCCUACUAUGCACAAGGGUGGCAGAACACGCCAAGAGGGAGAUACUUCAAAAGAAACCCCUCAAGGUCACGUUCAGACAAUGGCGACUGUAAUGACACGAAGGGCAAGAGUUCAACUCCCAAGGCCAAGAAAUCAAAUCCCAUGGUCAAGAAGGGAAUGUCGGCCAAGAAGUCAAAUCCAAGAGAUGCUCCCAUGAAGCCAAAAUCAAAGUCAUCUCAACAGCCGACAUCAAGUUCAAAAUCAAGUGUUGAGCCACCUAUCAGAUCAAAAAAGAAAUGGGUUAAACCCAACUACAAAUGGGUUCCAAAGGCUCACUCUCCCAAAUCUUCUAAUGCUUAUAAUAUUUUUACAUAUUCUGUUUGUGAUAAGUAGGACAUGUCAUGCGAGAGAGUAUCAUGCAAAGAUGACAAAGGUCGACCUAGUUUCAAAAUGGACUAGGUUCCAAAGACCAACUGAUCCCGCUUUGUGUCGGAGCAGCUAUGGAGGCAUAUCAUCAGACUUCGGUUUGUUGGUAGUGGCUGCUCCUGGCAUAUGAUUGGGGACAUCUCUCAACUGUACAACACUCAGAACUUUGUUUGAGAGUAUGUGUCCUUUUGCGGGAAAGGAAGAAAAGAAGNUUUGUGCUUAAUGACAUGAAGAAUUUUCGGAUCUGUUUUGAGAUUACGUGUGCUGUUCUCAGACCUUCUGGAUGCAAAUUCAAUCCGUGACUUACGGUUUGAGUUUUCUUCUCUAUACUCCUGAGUUUUUCUUAAGCUGAUUCGCUUUAAAGACAAAUUUUUGUUUUAGGACAGUUUAAAUUUGCACAUUUACUUUCAUUUCUCUCUUAUGCACAAAUUUAGGGGGAGAAAUAAAAACAAAACAAAAAUUUAAAAAUUUAAAAAAAUUAGAAAACAAAAUAAUAAUAUGUUGGUUAUGGAAUGUACUUAAGGGAGAUGUUUUGGGAAGUGAUAUGAUUAUGUGAUAACAGGCAACCCGAGUCUGCGUAACGUACCCAAAGUUGAAGGGUCUAUGCUCUGGUUUUAAGCGUCAGUAGGCACGAAAGAUUCUAAAUGGUCAUGACUAGGCAGAAUUGAACUUAAGAAAUCAAAUGACUUGACAAAUCUUGACCUAGUUAGAUCCGUUUAGCCUGACAAUACGACGCUUGGAUAGGUUGAGCAGGGAGAUAUAUAU